GCAACUUGUACUGUGAAACUGCGAAUGGCUCAUUAAAUCAGUUAUCGUUUAUUUGAUAGUACCUUACUACAUGGAUACCUGUGGUAAUUCUAGAGCUAAUACAUGCUAAAAACCCCGACUUCAGGAAGGGGUGUAUUUAUUAGAUAAAAAACCAACGCCCUUCGGGGCUCCUUGGUGAAUCAUAAUAACUUAACGAAUCGCAUGGCCUUGCGCCGGCGAUGGUUCAUUCAAAUUUCUGCCCUAUCAACUUUCGAUGGUAGGAUAGUGGCCUACCAUGGUGGCAACGGGUAACGGGGAAUUAGGGUUCGAUUCCGGAGAGGGAGCCUGAGAAACGGCUACCACAUCCAAGGAAGGCAGCAGGCGCGCAAAUUACCCAAUCCCGAUACGGGGAGGUAGUGACAAUAAAUACUGAUACGGGGCUCUUUUGGGUCUCGUAAUUGGAAUGAGAACAAUUUAAAUCCCUUAACGAGGAACAAUUGGAGGGCAAGUCUGGUGCCAGCAGCCGCGGUAAUUCCAGCUCCAAUAGCGUAUAUUAAAGUUGUUGCAGUUAAAAAGCUCGUAGUUGAACCUUGGGCCUGGCUGGCCGGUCCGCCUCACCGCGAGUACUGGUCCGGCUGGGCCUUUCCUUCUGGGGAACCUCAUGGCCUUCACUGGCUGUGGGGGGAACCAGGACUUUUACUGUGAAAAAAUUAGAGUGUUCAAAGCAGGCCUUUGCUCGAAUACAUUAGCAUGGAAUAAUAGAAUAGGACGUGUGGUUCUAUUUUGUUGGUUUCUAGGACCGCCGUAAUGAUUAAUAGGGAUAGUCGGGGGCGUCAGUAUUCAGCUGUCAGAGGUGAAAUUCUUGGAUUUGCUGAAGACUAACUACUGCGAAAGCAUUCGCCAAGGAUGUUUUCAUUAAUCAGGGAACGAAAGUUAGGGGAUCGAAGACGAUCAGAUACCGUCGUAGUCUUAACCAUAAACUAUGCCGACUAGGGAUCGGACGGGAUUCUAUAAUGACCCGUUCGGCACCUUACGAGAAAUCAAAGUUU
rnacentral:rRNA from 1 species